CUGAACGUGAUGAACUGUGAUUACCGCCCCAGUCUGAUUGUACAGUGACUGAGUGGUACCCCUCUGAUUUA